rnacentral:rRNA from 1 species
GACGAACCGAGCGAACGUUGUUCGGAAUCACUGGGCUUAAAGGGUGCGUAGGCGGGCUGCCAAGUUUGAGGUGAAAUCCUCCGGCUCAACCGGGGAAGUGCCUUGAAUACUGGCGGUCUGGAGGGAGGUAGGGGCGUGCGGAACUGUGCGUGGAGCGGUGAAAUGCGUUGAUAUGCACAGGAACUCCGGUGGCGAAGGCGGCGAGCUGGACCCUUUCUGACGCUGAGGCGCGAAAGCCAGGGGAGCGAACGGG